rnacentral:tRNA from 1 species
GUGUCUGUAGUCCAACGGUUAGGAUAAUUGGCUUCCAAGCAAUUGAACCGGGUUCGACAGACGCA